AUACUACUGAAGAGUCCCAGACAAAGACGAAACAGAUGUCUAGUAU
rnacentral:hammerhead_ribozyme from 1 species